GAGCCUUCCUGUCCUUAGCACACAGGAUUUCUGGGAUCCAAGGGCGUGACUGGAGAUGAGCUAUGAGCUGUGGGAUGGAUGUGCUAACAACCUUUGGCAGGAAGGAGAAGACUGGACCAGCACUUCAUCUUGGCCGGAGACAUUCCAGGAGCGGCUGCGAAGUGAGAGUUGGACAAUGCAGCGGAAACUGGGGUGAAACAUCUCACAAAGGCCAACUAUCGCCCGGCUUUCCCAAGCACACAUUAUUCCAUGCCACAGCAUUGGAUAUAUUGGAGCCCAACUUGGCUUUGAAGGAACCCAAGCAGAUCCAGCCGUGACCACUUGGGUAGCUGAAUAAAAUCCACCAGCUGAAAACCUCUUGCUGUUGUUUCUCCUCCUAAAGAACCUGGACAAAAUGUUUUUAAUAAAACACUCCUUCCUUC